GUGAAAAUUUAUCUAGUCCUCUGGACAGUCUCUUUCGAGAAAGUUGCAGGAUCUUAAUUCCUGGGAAUGAGCUUACUGAAGUUUCCUUGUUUGCAUUGAAUGGACGGACAUUUCUCACCAUAAUCGGAGACAGUGGAAAAGCAUGGGAGAUGACAUGUUUUAAUUUAUAAAUCUUAAACCAGAUUCAAGCACCGAUUCUACCACUCAGCUGUGCUGAGUCUCCGUUGUCUGGACAUAAUGAAGGCCUCUCUUACAGAACUGAAAGAGGAUCCAAAGUCGGAGAGUCCUAGACGCUGAGACCGACAUGUCACUUGCGGGCAGAACUUCUUUCUGCAGAGCUGACUCUCAUCUCGCGCAGGGACCCAGUGGGACCGGGGCGAGAGUCCCGGGAAUGGUCCACUCUAAUUCCUUUCCAUGCGUCCCCCGGGUUCCUGUCUCGUGCCAUCUACUUGC